GACGAACGCUGGCGGCGUGCCUAACACAUGCAAGUCGAACGGAAAGGCCCUGCUCUUGUGGGGUUCUCGAGUGGCGAACGGGUGAGUAACACGUGUGUAACCUGCCCUUGACUUUGGGAUAACUUCAGGAAACUGGGGCUAAUACCGGAUAGGAGCUCCUGCUGCAUGGUGGGGGUUGGAAAGUUUCGGCGGUUGGGGAUAGUCUCGCGGCUUAUCCGCUUGUUGGUGGGGUAGGGGCUUACCAAGGCUUUGACGGGUAGGCGGCCUGAGAGGGCUACCGGGCACAUUGGGACUGCGAUAGGGCCCAGACGCCUACGGGAGGCAACAGUGGGGAGUAUGACACAAUGGGCGGAAGCGUGAUGCAGAGACGCCGCGUGCGGGAUGCCGGCCUUCGGGUUGUAAACCGCUUUCGCCGGAGACGAAGCGUGAGUGACGGUAAUGGGUAAAGAAGCACCGGCUAACUACGUG
rnacentral:rRNA from 1 species